rnacentral:rRNA from 1 species
GAUGAACGCUGGCGGCGUGCUUAACACAUGCAAGUCGAACGGAAAGGCCCAAGCUUGCUUGGGUACUCGAGUGGCGAACGGGUGAGUAACACGUGGGUGAUCUGCCCUGCACUUCGGGAUAAGCCUGGGAAACUGGGUCUAAUACCGGAUAGGACGAUGUGUUGGAUGCCAUUGUGGAAAGUUUUUUCGGUGUGGGAUGAGCUCGCGGCCUAUCAGCUUGUUGGUGGGGUAAUGGGCUACCAAGGCGUCGACGGGGAGCCGGCCUGAGAGGGUGUACGGCCACAUUGGGGCUGAGAUACGGGCCAGACUCCUAAGGGAGGGAGCGGUGGGGAAUAUUGCAAAAUGGGCGCAAGCCUGAUGCAGCGACGCCGCGUGGGGGAUGACGGCCUUCGGGUUGUAAACUCCUUUCGCUAGGGACGAAGCGUUUUUGUGACGGUACCUGGAGAAGAAGCACCGGCUAACUACGU